UGGGGGAUCGUCUAAUGGUAGGACUGCAGAUUCUGGUUCUGCGUAUCGUGGUUCGAGUCCACGUCCCCCAGCCA
rnacentral:tRNA from 1 species